CACUUUUAUGGGGAUUUUAUGUGUUUUUGGCGUACUUUUGGGGUUUUGCAAAAUAUGUGUUUUUUCUGCCUGGAGAUAAUUGGGUUAAUACAGUAUUGACUCAAUUAUAUCCUAGGCAGAGGGGAGGGAUUGUAUGCCAUGUGUGGGAGUGUCUUCUAUUGUAAAUGUGUUAUCAUUGGUUUGUAAGUUUGUGUCCCUGUCCCCAACAAGGUCCAUGUGGGCGUAUACCUUGCUUGUAGAUUGUCAUAAAAGCCAGUGUGGCACCAUUAAAAUUCAGAUCCUGCUUUACCUUCAACAAAGAGCCUUGCCUCGUAUUUGUAGGAACCUGCUAUACCACUAGCUCUUGUAAGAACUUCACAGCUAUGCCUACUCUUCGCUGCUUGGACUGAUGGUGGGGAAUACUUCAGCGCUCUCUACUCUAGAGGGAAAAGGCAUCUCUGACAGCGGAAACCCCUCCACUAGUAGGGUGGCCAUUACAUAUAGCUAAUCCGGGUUCUUGCUCCUUGAUACGGAAGGUACCCGCAUUGGUAUUCAUGCUACACUAGAGGAAGCUGUUAAGAGUUAAGAUCUGAUCGGGGGAAAGACAAAAUGGG